rnacentral:rRNA from 1 species
GUGGGGAAUAUUGGACAAUGGGCGAAAGCCUGAUCCAGCCAUGCCGCGUGUGUGAAGAAGGUCUUCGGAUUGUAAAGCACUUUAAGUUGGGAGGAAGGGCAGUAAGUUAAUACCUUGCUGUUUUGACGUUACCGACAGAAUAAGCACCGGCUAACUUCGUGCCAGCAGCCGCGGUAAUACGAAGGGUGCAAGCGUUAAUCGGAAUUACUGGGCGUAAAGCGCGCGUAGGUGGUUUUGUAAGGUGGAGGUGAAAUCCCCGGGCUCAACCUGGGAACUGCCUCCAAAACUGCAUGACUAGAGUACGGUAGAGGGUAGUGGAAUUUCCUGUGUAGCGGUGAAAUGCGUAGAUAUAGGAAGGAACACCAGUGGCGAAGGCGACUACCUGGACUGAUACUGACACUGAGGUGCGAAAGCGUGGGGAGCAAACAGGAUUAGAUACCCGUGUAGUCC